rnacentral:sRNA from 1 species
AAAAAUAAUUAUUUAGAAAAAGGGCAUUGCAAAAAUGUUAUAAGUUUUUUUUUAAUUAUAAAACUGUAAUUAAACUCAAAGAAUAUGGAAAAUAGUAUAUUUAAAUUUGAGAAGAAUGACACAUGUCGAAUGAAUAGAGCGCCACUUGUCAGAUUUUUAGAGUACAAGUUUGAGGAACCUUACUAUUUAGAAAAAGGGCAUUACAAAAAUGUUAUAAGU